CCUACGGGUGGCAGCAGUGAGGAAUAUUGGUCAAUGGUCGGGAGCCUGAACCAGCCAAGCCGCGUGAGGGAUGAAGGUACAGAGUAUCGUAAACCUCUUUUGUCAGGGAACAAAGGCGGGGACGUGUCCCCGGAUGAGUGUACCUGAAGAAAAAGCAUCGGCUAAAUCCGUGCCAGCAGCCGCGGUAAUACGGAGGCGGCGAGCGUUAUCCGGUUUUGUUGGGUUUAAGGGUGCGUAGGGGGUCUGUUAAGUCAGCGGUCAAAGCCCGGGGCUCAAACCCGGCCCGCCGUUGAAACUGGCAGUCUCGAGUUGGAGAGAAGUAGGCGGAAUGCGCGGUGUAGCGGUGAAAUGCAUAGAUAUCGCGCAGAACUCCGAUUGCGAAGGCAGCAUGCCGGCUCCACACUGACGCUGAGGCACGAAAGCGUGGGUAUCGAACAGGAUUAGAUACCCGAGUAGUC
rnacentral:rRNA from 1 species